AUUGAACGCUGGCGGCAGGCCUAACACAUGCAAGUAGAACGAGUGGCGGACGGGUGAGUAAUGUCUGGGAAACUGACUGAUGGAGGGGGAUAACUACUGGAAACGGUAGCUAAUACCGCAUACCAUCAGAUGUGCCCAGAUGGGAUUAGCUUGUUGGUGGGGUAACGGCUCACCAAGGCGACGAUCCCUAGAUGGUAUGAGAGGAUGACCCGCCACACGGGAACUGGUCAACGGUCCAGACUCCGACGGGAGGCAGCAUGGGGGAAUAUUGCACAAUGGUCGCAAGCCUGAUGCAGCCAUGCCGCGUGUAUGAAGAAGGCCUUCGGGGUGUAAAGUACUUUCAGCGGGGAGGCGUUACCCGCAGAAGAAGCACCGGCUAACUCCGUGCCAGCAGCCGCGGUAAUAC
rnacentral:rRNA from 1 species